AGGUACUCUGUUAAAAUGUGUUGCCUCCCGUUGAGGAGUUGAGAGACCCUGGAAGCACUUGCCCAUGUGGUGAGGGACAGUUAGCUCCUUAAUGAGGGGCACAGAAGACAUUGUUUUGGGACACAAUGUUGUCAGGGGAGCUGUGUGCAUCUCUGCUUCUUUAUUUUUUGUACAGGUUACAUCUCUGCUGGACACACUAGAUAUUGAAAUCUUUGUUCAUUCUCUUGGUUCUGGUUUGGCUGACCUGUCAGCUGGAGCUGGAGGACAUGCCUGGCAGGGGAGUGACCCCCAUGGGAAAGAGCAGGACUCAGCAGAGUGAAAGCAGCUGGGACCCAGAGAAGCCAGGGAGGUCUGACUCUUAGAAGCCAAAGACCAACAGCAUGGCAGUCAGCCCUGCAGGAAAUGGUACAAGAGAAAAGACCAUCAUACCUGCCAGACUUCCUGAAAUACAGAAAUGACAUCACGGCUGCUAUGUCGGAUUAAUGCCAGGAUAGAUGUCCUCUUCCUGAAGAAGCUGUCAUGGAAAGAAAAGAAAAGAAGGAAUGGAGAUGAUGUUGCUUUACAGAGGGGAACCUCAGGAACCAGCAUGUAACAUGAGGAGGCCAGAAAAACUUGUCUGGGAAUUAUAAGAAUGGACGGAGUAGCUGCCUAUCCCUGUCCCACGGUCUUGUGCACAGAUCAGCCUCACAACAGGAAAGAGCGCUGGAUGGGGAUACAGUGGAAGCUCAUUCUCUUAGUGACUUGUGGACAUUGGCUCGAGAUGAAGCCUGGCAGGAGUGGAAACUCCAGGUCAUUUCUAUACCUUUCCUAUUACCUGGGAGGUGGAUCAUUCCACAGUGUUAGCAGGAAGGGAAUACAAGUCAGCCUAGUUAGAGGGAGUGUCUGGGGAAGGCCUAGGGGUGGAGGAAGAAGCUGUGCAGGACAGGGCUUGCCAGUUAGAAUGAAGUGGGAGGAAGAUGAGGGACACAGAGAAGCAGAGAGAGGCAGAGACAGCAUGGCAGUGAACACUGGGGGCUACAGUGACUUCAGAGACCCCAAGGACCAGGUGCUCCCAUUGCCACAGUCCAGGACCAGGGAGCCCUGAGAACCCUCCAGUGGCCAAAGGGUUUCGACUUACAUGAGGUGGGGUGUCUUUAGGGGCAAGAGGUAGUGGGGGGAUGAAAGAUGGGUGUCAGCCACUGAAGGACAAGGGAAAGGUGUGACCUAGACCUCCUAGGAUUCUGCAUCUGAGAUCCAGUCUCUAAAGAGGUUAUGGAUCAUUCAUUCCUUCAUUCAAUUCCUUCAUUUGCUAUGUGAGAGCACCUGAGUGUGUGUCUCUCACUGGGCCUAUGCUAGUGCAGGGUGUGAGUGGGGAAAGAACACAAGGUCCUGUCCUUUAUCCUGUUAUGCCAGUGACAUAGACACUUUGGGAAACAUAGGAUUUCAGGUUCAGUGAUAGGGGUUAAGAUCUGAGGGGGAGGCCUGGACAUUUUCUGCACUGACUCUGACAGUUGAGGCAGGUGAUUUAGUUCUGGAGUGCAGACUAAUCAGCUGACCAUUUGCUCUCCCUCCUCUGAGGUUUGGAUGUCGAAGAAGAGAGGAUUUGAGCCAAUAAAUGACUAUGGGGUCCUUGGAACCCAGUAAUCCCUCACUUCUGGUGGAGGAGAGGAUGGGCCUGUGGCUGCAGACAGACCUCAUGUGACCCUGAUCUGCCUUUUGUGUUUGUGUGACUCUGGUUCAGUGACUGUGCCUUCCUGUGCCUCAGUUUUCUCUCAGUCAAAUAAGCUAAAUGGCGAAUGGACUGUGGCUUUUCAUGCUAUCUGUGAAUAAAUUGUAAAUUCUUCACAGUCACCUGACCUAAUGCUUGGCACAGUGGAGGUGUUCACACAAAAAGCAUUUAUUAUUAUUCACUUUCACUUCCAUGAGGGCGCACCUUUAGGUCAGAUCCCUGUGGAUAAGUUGCUGCCAAGUACAUUUUCUGUCUUCUGUUUCUGCUUCUGGGGACAUUAGACUUCCUAUGGAGUGUCCUAAGCCUCACAAGGCAGUUGACUGAUGGCCUACAAAGCUUGUCUUUCUGUCCUCUCCACUCUGAGUGUCAGGUGAAGAAAGCUCUGUCCUUGCCCAGAUGAGGCUCUGAGGGCUGAGCCCUGGCUGGUGAGCAGAUCCAGGAGACACAGUCGUCAGACAGCUGGCGAAUCCUUGGUCCCAGUAAGCCCUGCCACAACCCAGCCCUGGCACAGGCUCCUCCACUUUAUCUGGAGUAAGGAUUUAGGGACAGCGGUCUGGGGUUGAGGUUUCUAGGGCUGAGCUUUUCUGAGAGUAUCUCAAGGGGCCUCUUAGGCAAAGCCCUACUCAGUUCUCCAGGGUCUUUCUCAGGGUCAAGUUUAUGAAGAGGGCAUGAGGUGCUUGGCUGAGACUGAUCUCCUCCUGCUGAACACCCCCUCCCCCACCAUCAGACUGUCCUUCCUGUGCAGCAAGUGUCUGGAGGCAGGACAGGAAUUCUUAUCUGUUGUGGUUUGUCUCCUCUGUGUGUGUCCUGCACUAAAUGCCAAAACCGCAACAUGGGAUAUAAUGCAGAGAGGGACACAGGCACAGUCCAGGCCUGACCAUUCUGUGUGUGCAAAGUAAAAGUGACUCCCAACCCCCAACACCCAGGGAUCAUGUGGAAUCACUCACGGUAUAAGGUGAAAUGUCCAGUUACUCCUUUAGUCUCAUCACCUUGCUUUGUUAUUUGAAUGGUGUAGGAUCCUGUGUCAUUCUUGGUGACAUUCUGGAUCAGCAGGGAUGCAUUGGAAUAUACUGUUUCUCGUCCACUGUAUGCAGGCCCAAAUACAAUCAUUUCAGUGUCUAUUGUAUAUGCUGCAAUGUAAUGCUGGAGGUCCAUUAUUUGCCCUU